rnacentral:rRNA from 1 species
ACGGGGGGGCACAAGCGGUGGAGCAUGUGGUUUAAUUGAAGCAACGCGAAGAACCUUACCAGGCCUUGACAUCCAAUGAACUUCCAGAGAUGGAUGGUCCUUGGGAGCAUGAGACAGUGGCAUGGGUGUCAGUCGUGUCUUGAGAUGUUGGGUUAAGUCCCGUAACGAGCGCAACCCUUGUCUUAGUUACCACCUUGGUGGGCACUCUAAGGAGACUGCCGGUGACAAACCGGAGGAAGGUGGGGAUGACGUCAAUCAUCAUGSCCCUUAYGRCCUGGGCUACACACGUGCUACAAUGGUCGGUACAAAGGGUUGCCAAGCGCGAGGUGGAGCUAAUCCCAUAAAACCGWUCAGUCGGAUCGCGUCUGCAACUGAUGCGGAAGUCGAAUCG